rnacentral:rRNA from 1 species
GGGCUCACACAAGCGGUGGAGCAUGUUGCUUAAUUCGAAGCAACGCGAAGAACCUUACCUGGGCUUGACAUGCACGGAUUAACCCCUGGAAACAGGGGCCACACCCGCAAGGGUGGAACGUGCACAAGUGCUGCAUGGCUGUCGUCAGCUCGUGCUGUGAAGUGUCGGGUUAAGUCCCUUAACGAGCGCAACCCUUGUCGCUAGUUGCCAUCGCGUCAUGGCGGGUACUCUAGCGAGACUGCCGGUGUCAAACCGGAGGAAGGUGGGGAUGACGUCAAGUCCUCAUGGCCCAUUUAUGCCCAGGGUUGCAAACGUGCUACAAUGGCGCGCACAAAGCGACGCGAGGCCGCGAGGCGGAGCAAAUCGCACAAAACGCGCCCCAGUUCGGAUUGCAGGCUGCAACCCGCCUGCAUGAAGCCGGAAUCGCUAGUAAUCGCGGAUCAGCUACGCCGCGGUGAAUACGUUCCUGAGCCUU